GACGAACGCUGGCGGCGUGCUUAACACAUGCAAGUCGAACGGAAAGGCCCUGCUUUUGUGGGGCGCUCGAGUGGCGAACGGGUGAGUAACACGUGAGUAACCUGCCCUUGACUUUGGGAUAACUUCAGGAAACUGGGGCUAAUACCGUAUAGGAGCUCCUGCUGCAUGGUGGGGGUUGGAAAGUUUCGGCGGUUGGGGAUGGACUCGCCGCUUAUCAUCUUGUUGGUGGGGUAGUGGCUUACCAAGGCUUUGACGGGUAGCCGGCCUGAGAGGGUGACCGGCAACAUUGGGACUGAGAUACGGCACGGAGUCCUACGGGAGACAGCAGUGGGGAAUAUUGCCCGAUGGGCGGAAGCCGGAUGCAGCAACGCCGCGUGCGGGGUGACGGCCUUCGGGUUGUAAACCGCUUUCGCCUGUGAGGAAGCGUGAGUGACGGUAAUGGGUAAAGAAGCACCGGCUAACUACGUG
rnacentral:rRNA from 1 species